GGGGUAUAGCUCAAUUGGUUGAGCGUUUGUUUUGCAAAUAAAAGGUUAUUGGUUCG
rnacentral:tRNA from 1 species